rnacentral:piRNA from 1 species
UUGGCUCCUCGGUGGUCUUUGAGGACCUGC